UACGUAGGGGGGUAAGCGUUUGUCCGGAUUUAUUGGGGCGUAAAGAGCGUGUAGGCGGCCAAGCAGGUCCGCUGUGAAACUCGAGGCUCAACCUCGAGACGUCGGUGGAAACCGUUUGGCUAGAGUCCGGAAGAGGAGAGUGGAAUUCCCGGUGUAGCGGUGAAAUGCGCAGAUAUCGGGAAGAACACCCGUGGCGAAGGCGGCUCUCUGGGACGGUACUGACGCUGAGACGGCGAAAGCGUGGGGAGCGAACAGG
rnacentral:rRNA from 1 species